GGCGGGAUGUAGCUGAAGGAGGACAGCGCGGAGAUUGGCGGCGGCCGGGGCUCGCCCCGCAGCGUGGCGGCGGUGAUCUCCUCGUCCUCCUCGUCGCUCCCAUCCAUCGUUUCCUUCGCAGCCACGAUCCGUUGUAAGGCUCCUGCAGCCAUAGCAUCAGGCAGAGUUUCCAGUGUUUUUAUAAAACUCAACACCUCUUCUGAUGAAGUGAAUUCGUUUAGUUUCCUGUAAAAUAUCUGUUCAUCCUCAUUUUUAAGAUUUUGUUCAAACUUGUUCCAGUCUUGUCCCUGAGAGAAUGCUGGCUCACCAACUGGAUGAAGUUCAUUUCCAUUUUGUAAGUGGAACUUUUUAUAGCAGGCAUGAUGAAAAUGGAUCCUGAAAGGCUCAUACUGUACUGAACAGAACCAAGGAUGCAGUUGCUCUUUGGAUACCUUGUGAACAUGAUUUAUAGGAUGAUUUCUCAGAGCAGCCAGAGCUCCAUGUAUCCGAAAAUCAGACAAAUGACAGAAGUUCCUUCGCAAGGUAAUUAAAGCCAUGCCAUGUAAUUCUCAGCUCUUCUGGACUUGUAAAAUAAAAAGACAAGGUCAAAUACAAA